CACGUAGGGUGCGAGCGUUGUCCGGAAUUAUUGGGCGUAAAGAGCUCGUAGGCGGUGUGUCGCGUCCGCCGUGAAAACCUGCAGCUUAACUGUGGGCUUGCGGUCGAUACGGGCAUCACUGGAGUUCGGCAGGGGAGACUGGAAUUCCUGGUGUAGCGGUGAAAUGCGCAGAUAUCAGGAGGAACACCGGUGGCGAAGGCAGCUCGCUGGGACGUUACUGACGCUGAGACGCGAAAGCGUGGGGAGCGAACAGG
rnacentral:rRNA from 1 species